ACAGUUCUCUGUUUGCAUUUACUUGCCAGAACAUGUGUUAGAAUCUACUUCUGCAGAAGACCAGGUGAAACAACUAGCCUCGUGGGACUGAGCAACUACUAGACUAUUGGACUUCCCAUCCACAGCUGCCCAUUAGUUGGACUAGAGACUAGCUUCUUCACUUGUUCAUUGAACAGGAAGAGAAGAUGUUGGAACGGAAAGUUUUAAACAAACACUACCCACCUGACUUUGACUCAGCGAAGAUCCCGAAACUCAAGCUACCAAAGGACCGGCAGUAUGUGGUGCAGCUGAUGGCCCCCUUCAACAUGAGGUGUAAGACAUGUGGAGAAUACAUCCACAAGGGGAAGAAGUUCAACACACAAAAGGAAACAGUCCAGAACGAGGCAUAACUGGGCCUGCCAAUCUUCCGAUUUUACAUCAAAUGCACAUGCUGCUUGGCCGAGAUCAUCUUCAACACAGACCAGAGAACACAGAUUACACCUUGGAGCACGGGACCAUGCGCAACUUCAGGCCCCGAAGCUUCUGGAAGAGGAGGAGAAGUGCGUGCAGAAGGAGUGAGAGGAUGAGGAACUGAACAACCCCAUGAAGUCACGUGGACUUUGAGGCCAUGCUGCGGCAACACCACCUGUCUCAGGAGCAGUGGUGACAGCAGUAGGAGGAGGAAGAAGAGCAGGAGACAGAGGCCUUGCUGGAGGAGGCUCGUCAUUGAAGGCUUCCGGAGGACUCUGACUCAGAGGAUGAGGCUCCACCUUCCCGACCACAGGCAGCUUUAAGACCCAACCCCACAGCCAUCCUCGACAAGGUACCAAAGACCAAGAGGAAAAACAGAGGCCCUGUGCAGCAAAGCACAGUUGGCAGACUUGGUUGUAACAAAGAAGGUAAUGACGGAGGCUAGCAGGGGCUCAGAGCAGGUCCGGGUGCCUGCCACUGGUGCCCCUGAGAGCAGAAAGGUGGCCAACCCUACACCCCAGACACCUGGUGCCUCCUCUCUGAGCCAGCUGGGUGCAUAUGGGCACAGCGAGGACAGAGACAGCUGAGCAUCACUGAUGCUCACCCUGGCAUCAAAGACCCAAGAAAUGAGGAAAUGGGAUCAAGGAAACACCUUCAGCAAAGGCCUCAGGACCAUUUCUGCCAUGGGUCCUGGCAAGGUGUGGAGAAACAAUGUCCCCAGGACAGAAAGCCUGGUCCACUCCUUCAGUCCUUGAGUUGUGUGGAGCCUGUUGGCUGCUCCCUUCCUGCCACAGAUCUAAACACUGACAUGGAACAGGGGACAGUGACAAUGGACACCAUCUCCAACCAUACACAAGGUCUGGGGCUUCACCUGCAUGCAAGACAGUAGUACUGUAAAAAAACAAGAAUAGAAAAUGAAUUGAAAAGCAAACAACAAAAAAGCAGUUACCCAUUAUGCCUAAGCCAUGUUGGGUGCCACCUGUAGGCAUGAAUUUUUUGCAACCUACUUUUAAUAGGGUUCAACCUCUCCUCUAGCCCACCACCGAGCAAGAGGGAGUGGAAGACAAAAGUUAUUAGAAUAGGGGGAAGUGGACCUGUUCAGCAAUAGUUCUUUGGGGACAAGCUUGAUCUUCUUUGGCAGCAGUUCAGUCCUGUAGUAAACAUCAACCUGACUCAGCAGCUGCAGACCAGUCCUCUAAGCAGGCAGAUGCCAGGCAGCUGUAGUUCAAUCCUGAAGAAACUGCCAGGCUCUUCAUCUGGCUUUAGGAGAGGCCACAGAGGUGGCAAGCUGCUGCAGGAACCUCAUGAGCCAUUCUUGGGUGAGUUUCUCUCAAUGGCAGCGUUAUCACCAGCUCAGCUCAACAGCACUGUGUAAGGUGAACCAAUGCAUGCGUGUCUUUAGCGAAGAAUAGCAAGGCGAAGCAAACCAAACCAAGGCUUACUGCUCAUCUCCCACUGCUCUGUGGGGGCAUAUUUAUACUCCUUCAUCAAGUGUCCUUUCACGUGUUUGCCUUAACAAGACGUCCUUUCACCUGCGUGCCCCAGCAAAACAUCAUUUGACAUAACUAACUUUCCAAAGAACUAGAAGGUUCCAGUUUAUGUGGGUAUGGGGUUGGGGAUUGGGAGGGGCUAGUUAGUGAGUGUCAUCAGAGUGAAAGUUGCCCCAUCUUUGAGGACUUUUACGAGUCAAACAAGAUAAAAGGGAUAGUGUUGAUAGGUUGGAAUGGUACCUGAUAUAUGGUACUAUGAAGUAAGUAGUACUUAUUUUAUUUUGUCAUUAUCAUUGGUGGCAGUGCUAUCUAUCUUGUAGUAUCAUUGUGAGCAGAGUAUUAAAUGAAAUGAAGUAACAAAGUUCCUAGCAGAUACCCUGAGACACAAGACUCAGCUGGAAUUAGUUCCUGCCCUCCUUCUGAGGGUUCCUCCCCAAUCCAGUCCACUCCAUGAAGCUUUCCCCUGCUUCAUGCCCCCUGGAUCGAAACAUGGAGACAUUUUUGUUAUUUUGGGACCUCAUGGGUGAAGCAUGACUACCAAAUAUACAGGUUGUUGUGGGAGACCUGACUUCUUCCCACUGAGUUUCAGGGAAGCAAGUAAGCUUGCCUAGAGGUAGCAUCCCAGACAACAGAUGGUGAAGUUGAGCUCCCUGUGCUGGUUUAGAUAAGAAUAGCCCCAUGUGCUUGUAUGGAUGAAUAUUUGGUCCCAAAUUAGUGAACUAUUUUGGAAGGAUUAAAAGAUGUCUCCUUGUUGGAGGAGGUGUGUCAAUGGGAGUAGGCUUUGGAGUUUCAAAAACCCAUGCCUAGUACUACCUGAGGAUCCAGAUAUACUACUCUCCUGGGCAUAUACCCAGAUGUUCCAUCAUGCAAUAAGGACCCAUGCUCCACUAUGUUCAUAGCAGCCGUAUGUAUAAUAGCCAGAAGCUGGAAAGAACCCAGAUGUCCCUCAACAAAGGAAUGGAUACCGACAAUGUGAUACAUUUACACAAUGGAGUACUACUCAGCUAUUAAAAACAAUGAAUUUAUGAAGUUCUUAGGCAAAUAGAUAGAACUAGAAAAUCCUG
rnacentral:lncRNA from 1 species